AGCUGCCCAUAUUGCUUACAACUAAAGAGUAUAUCGAAAAGCUACGGAAGGAAAACAUGACACUUAUGAAGCUUCUUGUAGAAAGAAAUAAAAUUAUUGAACUGAGCGUAAUUGAGCUACAGAAACUGAGAAUCAAUUUGCUAAAAGUGCAGCAAUAGAAUUUGCAACUUGCCCAAGCAAACAGCCAGAUGUUGGCAG